rnacentral:rRNA from 1 species
GCCUACGGGGGGCAGCAGUAGGGAAUUUUCGUCAACGGGCGCAAGCCUGAACGAGCAAUGCCGCGUGAACGAGGAAGGUCUUCGGAUCGUAAAGUUCUGUUGAAGGGGAAAAAGAGCGGAGAGAGGAAAUGGUCUCCGAUUGAUAUUACCCUUCGAGGAAGUCACGGCUAACUACGUGCCAGCAGCCGCGGUAAUACGUAGGUGGCGAGCGUUAUCCGGAAUGAUUGGGCGUAAAGGGUGCGUAGGCGGCCUGCUAAGUCUGGAGUGAAAGGUACCGGCUCAACCGGUACAGGCUCUGGAAACUG